rnacentral:rRNA from 1 species
UGAGGAAUAUUGGUCAAUGGACGCAAGUCUGAACCAGCCACGUCGCGUGAAGGAAGACGGCCCUAUGGGUUGUAAACUUCUUUUGUAAGGGAAUAAAGUGAGUCACGGGUGGCUUAUUGCAUGUACCUUACGAAUAAGGAUCGGCUAACUCCGUGCCAGCAGCCGCGGUAAUACGGAGGAUCCGAGCGUUAUCCGGAUUUAUUGGGUUUAAAGGGUGCGCAGGCGGGAGAUUAAGUCGGCGGUGAAAUUUUGCAGCUUAACUGUAAAAGUGCCAUCGAUACUGGUUUUCUUGAGUGUGGAUGAAGUAGGCGGAAUUUGUGGUGUAGCGGUGAAAUGCAUAGAUAUCACAAGGAACACCGAUUGCGCAGGCAGCUUACUAAACCAUAACUGACGCUCAGGCACGAAGGCGUGGGGAGCAAACAGGAUUAGAUACCCUGGUAGUCCACGCAGUAAACGAUGAUUACUGGCUGUUUGCGAUAUACAGUAAGCGGCUAAGCGAAAGCAUUAAGUAAUCCACCUGGGGAGUACGUUCGCAAGAAUG